UACAGAGGUCCCAAGCGUUGUUCGGAUUCACUGGGCGUAAGGGGUGCGUAGGUGGUGGGGUAAGUCGGAUGUGAAAGCUCGGAGCUCAACUCCGAAAUGGCAUUGGAAACUACCCUGCUAGAGGAUUGGAGGGGGGACUGGAAUACUUGGUGUAGCAGUGAAAUGCGUAGAUAUCAAGUGGAACACCAGUGGCGAAGGCGAGUCCCUGGACAAUUCCUGACACUGAGGCACGAAAGCUAGGGGAGCAAACAGG
rnacentral:rRNA from 1 species